GGGGAAUUUUAGACAAUGGGGGCAACCCUGAUCCAGCCAUGCCGCGUGAGUGAAGAAGGCCUGCGGGUUGUAAAGCUCUUUCGGACGGAAAGAAAUCGCCGCCUCUAACAUAGGCGGUGGAUGACGGUACCAUAAGAAGAAGCACCGGCUAACUACGUGCCAGCAGCCGCGGUAAUACGUAGGGUGCGAGCGUUAAUCGGAAUUACUGGGCGUAAAGCGUGCGCAGGCGGUUUGGUAAGACAGGUGUGAAAUCCCCGGGCUUAACCUGGGAACUGCGCUUGUGACUGCCAGGCUAGAGUACGGCAGAGGGGGGUGGAAUUCCACGUGUAGCAGUGAAAUGCGUAGAGAUGUGCAGGAAUACCGAUGGCGAACGCAGCCCCCUGGGACUGUACGGACGCUCAUGCACGAAAGCGUGGGGAGCAAACA
rnacentral:rRNA from 1 species